GUUUCCGUGAGCUGUGUUGUAGGUUGCAGACCCGGCUCGGAUCCCGCGUUGCGGUGGCUCUGGUGUAGGCCGGUGGAUACAGAUCCGAUUUGACCCCUAGCCUGGGAACCUCCAUAUGCCGCGGGAGAGGCCCAAAGAAAUAGCAACAACAACAACAACAAAAAGACAAAAAGACAAAAAAAAAAAAAAAAAAAAAAAAAAAAAAAGUGGGGCCAACAUGGUCCCAGCCCUCUGAAUUUUUGACAGCUCCUCUUAAAACCAUUUUAUGAAUAUUUUCAGACAGAUGCGCAGAAGUAGAAUAGUACAGUGAAUCGCCCACCACUUAGGUUCAACAAUUAUCCAGACUUGGCUUCAUCUAGCCUCUACUUUUUUGGGGAUCCUGUCUGAAUUUGGGGAGACAGGAAUUAUUACAUCAGCUGCCCUGGUGUUCUGAGCAUGCCCUGAACUGUGUAUACCCUUGGAGGUUUUUUGUUUUUAUUCAGAGCAGCUUGAUGUAUUAUCAUAUAUCGUGAGCAAGUGUCUUUUCCUGCGUGUAUAUGAAAGGGAUCACAGAUCCUUCUAGGUCUUGCGAUUGCAUUGCUUUUAUUGCUGGCUUCCUCUGGCACCAUGUUGACUGUUUCCCGCUCAGUCCUUCCUCAAGGGAGGAGGUUCCCACAGCCGUGGAAGGGACCAGUUCUCCGGCAGCCCAUUGCUCCAGUCCGUUGGUGGUCACCGGACUAUCUGCUUUCUUUUGUAAGGAUGCAGCGAAUCCCUGCUCCUCCUCCCCAGGUGAGAAAUGACCGUCUCCAUCAAUCGUCGCUUUUCCUGGAUCUCCUCAUAGACAGGAUGGGAGGUCCCCUCCCUGGCAGACCCUCCCCGUCCCGUGAAUCGUCUCUCAGCCUGUCUCGGAGCUGGGCUUCUUUCCUGUUCCUUGCUGAAGAGACAAGAUGUGGGCAAAUUGGAACAAGAGGUGGGGGAGGAGCCACCUUCUGUGAUCCCGUCUGGACAUUAAGAAGCGCUUCUCCAAGAAUCUGGAACUGGCUGCCAGCUGUUUUGUUCAUGACUGCUCAUAGGAGGCCCUUGACAAAGGUAAGUUGCCUGAAUGAACGACUACUGUGUACAGGUGGGUACAGGUAUUAACUUUCUAUUCCUGACGGCAUUUUACAGAGGAGGGGCUGGAAGUAUCCUAAGUGUCAGAGCUGGGAUUUGAACCCAGGGUGGACGUCUUCUACUGGCAAGUGUUUCUCUGAUUUCCCUCUUCGCCUGGAGUAUGCACGUCUAGAAUGGCCCGGAAGUGAGUUCAUCCAUCCUGCACCCCUGGUCAGGUGCUUCCCACCUCCCUGGCCCAGGGCCUCGAGGUCCCCGUGUUCGCGUCUCAGGUGUGCCAGCUCUGCCGCGGUCCCAGGCCCUGGGAACGGGUUGGCUUGCGG
rnacentral:lncRNA from 1 species